GCUGGUCAGAGGAGCCCACCCUGAGGACGUGUGGCCAGAAGUGAAAUCGGAAGAGUGAGGAGGGGGUGGGAGUGAGGAGCGUGAGAACUUGGGGAACGGAACUCCAGGUGGGCGGCACAGCGCCUGCUAAGGCUGCAGCAAACCAGUCUCUGAAGGCAGAGACCCCGCCCUGGCUGCAGGACCCAGCCUGCCCGGUCUGGAGUCUCUCCUCUCCCAAAUGUCCACGCCAUGCUGGGGAGGGAGGCCCCUCUCCUACCAUUGUCAAACCCUGGUAGCUGGACAUAGUUCUACUGGUAAACACCCCAGCCCAGCCCAGACUGUCGGAG
rnacentral:lncRNA from 1 species